ACUAGAAGUCACCUGGUCUCUGUGUUUGUUCGAUCCUAGGGGUUUUGUCGCCUCAUUCGAGAACUCACCAGUGAAUACCUGCCUGCUCGCUCCGCCGAUUCCACUGCCUCCACUCCACCCUUCGAGCUUCCAGCUGUCUUCCAUUCCCACCUCGCAUUUACCUUCGGAACCGCUGCACACCCUCUCUCAGGAACCUGGCAUCUCACACCCACGCCUCGAAAGACCCGCACCGAAGCUUCAAGAGGAUCAGCGUGUGAAGAUCACUUUAUAAUGAUUUGAAAAAGGUUGCCAUGGCUACAGAAAUUGGAGGAGCAUCCUUAGAUGACACUAUACAACCAGCUGUGCGAUUCCUCAUGUCCCAUGAACUGGAAGUCCAGUUCAACCUUUUUGGCCAACAUUGGAAACAAGCUCUUGGACCUGCGUCUCUUUGAUGUUUUGUAUGGGGACUUAAAAGAAAUUAUCCAUCUACAGAAUCACACAAGCAUACAGCAAAGACUCUCGAAGUGGUUUACUGGAGCCCGAGUGGAAGUGGAAAUAGACUAGAGAGACUGCCAGUUCAAACUCAGGUUGGGGAGGUCUUUCAAGAUGGACAGUUUCAGUAAAGUAUGAGAGAUUUCAAAUUUAAGCAUGCAUAUGGCAUGUAGGUUAUUUUUAAAAAUGUUUAACAAAAAUGUAUUGUGAAAGAUCUAUAUAGGUGUGUAUAUUCACAUUGUGUGUAUCAAUGUGAAUAUACGUGUAUAAAGUUAUAUAGAUAGUAUUUAGAUGUAUACAUUUAUAGACCUGUAGGAAAAUAUGUAGGUGUCUUUAUUUGUGUGCAUCUAUAGAUAUAUAUUUAUAGAUCUGUUUAUAAGUUUGUUAUAGUAAACUAGCUUCUGUUAUUUUCAAAGAUGUCGUGAAUAAUUGCAGAUUUCUUUUUGUGGCACCAUUCCCUGAGUAUUAAUGAAGUUCUAAUAAUUGCUGUA